GAGAGAGGCUCGCAGCAACGAAGACUGCUAAUCUUCGCUACCUUGGUUAGACCCCAGGGCUCACUCG
rnacentral:tRNA from 6 species